AUUGAACGCUGGCGGCAGGCCUAACACAUGCAAGUCGAGCGAGCGGCGGACGGGGGAGUAAUGUAUGGGGACUGCCCGAUAGAGGGGGAUAACUACUGGAAACGGUGGCUAAUACCGCAUACUGUCGGAUAACCCAUAUGGGAUUUGCUAGUAGGUAAGGUAAUGGCUUACCUCGGCGACGAGCCCUAGCUGGUCUGAGAGGAUGAUCAGCCACACGGGGACUGAGAGACGGCCCAGACUCCUACGGAGGCGGCAGUUGGGAAUAUUGCACAAUGGGCGCGAGCCUGAUGCAGCCAUACCGCGUGGGGGAUGAAGGCUUUCGGGUUGUAAACCUCUUUCGCUAUCGAACGGGUAGGUGGAGAAGAAGCACCGGCUAACUCCGUGCCAGCAGCCGCGGUAAUAC
rnacentral:rRNA from 1 species